rnacentral:lncRNA from 1 species
GUUAAUAUUUCUCUUAACUAUUUAAUAUCUUCUUUUUAUUUUGGUUUUUCAGUUUUUUAGGUUUCGAAUUUUUGUUGUAAGAUACUAUGACAUGCAUAAGGACCUGAGAGGAAAUAAUAUUGCUGCAUAACAAUCACGUAAUUCUUUUUCAUUAUCCUUGAUAACGUAAAAUAAACCCUCCACACUUACCUUCCUCUGUUCAAGAGAUGGUUGCGCCGAUCCACGGUGCCUAUUUUUGUAUUCUCCCGCCCAGCAUUCCAUCGGGGGUCUUUCAUUGCUCCGAUCCAUUAUCCUUUGAUCAGUACUUGAUGUUUCGCCAAAUAUUUCCCUCUGAUCAUUGAACUGAGAUAAUCAAUGGCGUUAGAACCAGCACGUAUAAUUAAUCACUAUUUGAUAAAACAAACUGAAAUACCAUAUUUAAGAAUAACAUUUUCAGGAAACAAACACAAAAUAUUUGCAAGAAAUCAAAAUUGAAACAAGUGAAACUUCAUCGCUCUGACCCAUUAUCUGCUGAUCAGUAAUUGAUGCAAUCGCUGGUGUUUAGAAACAGCACGUAUAUAUACACUAUCACUAAGUCAUGAAGAAAAACAUAUUCUGAAAACAACCACAAUAAUAGUUUGCAUGAAAUCAAUCUUAAUUUGUGGUUAUUUCUAUCUGUGUUAGUUUUCAUGGGGUUUCUAGUGACGAGCUUUUUACUCAUGUUUUAUUAUGGAAUGCAAACUAGUGGUGUCUUGCUGUGAAAUAAAAGGGUAAACUUCAUUUAUUUUCCUUGUAAUAGAUUCAUUAAUAUUCUACUUCUACUCCUACUCCUACUCCUACUCUUAUAGUUUUCAUAAAAUCCUGUUAAUAUUACUCUUAACCAUUUAAUAUCUUCUUUUUAUUUUGGUUUUUCAGUUUUUUAGGUUUCGAAUUUUUGUUGUAAGAUACUAUGACAUGCAUAAGGACUUGAGAGGAAAUAAUAAGAGAAAAGUUAUAAAAAAACAAAAAUAAUUCUGCAUAGCAAUCACGUAAUUCUUUUUCAUUAUCCUUGAUAACGUAAAAUAAACCCUCCACACUUACCUCGCUCGUUUUAGGAACUAGUGGAGGUGGAGGUGGAGGUUGUGGCAUAGCUAGUACAAUUGGAGGCUUCUCCGCUGGGGAAGCCCUCUUCUUUUUUGAUUGCUCCCCCGGAUCCAUUAUCCUUUGAUCAGUACUUGAUGUUCCGCCAAUUUCCCUCAUAUGAUUGAACUGAGAUAAUCUAUGGCGUUAGAACCAGCACGUAUAAUUAAUCACUAUUUGAUAAAACAAACACAAAAUAUUUGCAAGAAAUCAAAAUUGAACAAUAUUCUCUUAAAUCAUGUCUUUUCACAUGUUCACCCGCUCAAAAGAAAAAGAAAAGAAAAAAAAAAAACGGGUAUCCAGUUCUAUAUGUUACCCAAUUUUGGACUCGAAAAUUUCAGUUUUCUGAGGGGUUUUAGCGACAAGCUUUUCACUUAUGUUUGAUUAUGGAAUGCAAAUUAGUGGUGUCUUCUUGUAAAAUAAAAGGGUAAACUUCAAUAAUUAUCCUUAUAGAUUCAUCAUUGCUCUACUUUACUCUUAUAAUUUCAAUUUUUCCGCUAUAACCCUUGUAGUUUUCAUAAAAUUCCAUUAAUAUUACUCUAAAAGCAAUUAACAAACGCAUCAAAAGCCUGUUGGAUAGAAACUUACAUACCUAAAAGCUCUCGACAACCGGCAGUUUUAGAAGUUCUUCUCGUUUCAAUGAUGACAAUCCACCUCUAGUGUCCAAAAAGAUGUGCCAAGAAUGGUAGGCUCUCCCUCUUUAAUAUACCUUCCAAAAUGUUCUAUUGCCCCUUAUUCACCACACACGUACUUAUCAAUAAUCCUUAAUCACCACAUCCGACACAGUACAAUUGUAAUAUCCCUAUUAUUUUAUCUAGAUAAUUUCUCAAUUAAAUAUAAAAAUUUAAAGUAAUUUUUAUUUUUAUUUUACUAAUCAUAUGAACAAUUAAGAUGCAAUUACUUAAUUUAGCAUAAAAAAAAUUUAACAUGACAUUCACAUUAGUUACAUAUAAAAAUUAUAUCUAUAACCAAAAGGAUUCGAUUAAUAUCAUUUACAUAAUUUAUUCAUCCCAUAAUAUUGAUUAAUUAUCAUAAAUAUAUAAAAAAUAUCUAAUAUUCAAACAAGAUCUAUUUUAUUAUUACAAGGAUCUCAAAAUCAAAUUAAUAUUCUAUCAACAUAAUUAUUAAAAAAUACAAAACAUCAUUUCAUUACAUCCAUAUAAAAUAUUUUAUAUAUAUAUAUUUUAUAAGGAGUCAUUAAUAUCUCGGGAUCUCAAUACCUUCUUAUCCAGCAAGAUUCUCCUUCUGUUCAUGUAGAAAAGAAUAAGUAAAACAUUUGGAGUUAAUUUCUCCUCCUAAAAUGUUAAACACUUUAUUUUUAUUUUUUUAAAUAAAACUUGGUAUGGGUAGAGAAACCAAAACAUAUAUUUGGUUUCUUUAAUGUAAAAUGAUAUUUUUUUUCAUUAGAAAAACAAAAGUAUGAUAAAGAAAUGUGAAAAAUAAUAAUGUGCAAAAAAACUAUUGUGGUAAAAAAACUGGUCUCAUUCUCAGUCCUUUUUUUCUGAGGAUUUUUUCUCACAUCUCUAAAAAAAUAAAAAACCAAAACAUUACAAAAAAAAUUAAGACCCAAAUAUAAAUUGCUUAAAUAAUAAAGAUUAAAUAACACAAAAAUUAAAACCUUUUAAACAAAAACAAAGUUUUUCGCCUGGAAAUGAAAAAGGUUCUUUAUUUAUUUAUUUUUGUUUACUUUUGUCCUGUUCAUUCAACUUUUCUUAAACUAUAGUUUUGGACUCUAUUUCAUAAAAUUGAUCAUUAAUUAAUUUAAUUUCAAAAUCUAUAGAAACACUUUUAAUUUGAAAAAUCAUGCAAAGAAAAGUAAAUCUCAACAUAUAACAUGUAAGAUCAUUGUUGCGAAGGCUUUCCUACUCAGACUAAUGGUCUCUGCAUAAUAACAAUCACGUAAUGCUGCUUCAUUCCCCUCGAUAACAUAAACUAAGUCCUCCACACUUACUAAUAAAUUCUGUUCGAGAAAUUGUUGCAGGUACAUUAUUUUGUGGUCUUCCAUAGCUUUUAGAUUUUCCUUACCAUGGUGAAUAGGGCCUAUUGAGACUACUCGAGGUGUAUAUGCCUUUCUAUGUAACUUCCGCAAUCGUUCCGGGACUCUAUAGAUGCAGCGUACCGGGGAGAAAGCCUUGUUGAUCUUCAAUUGCUCCCUCAAAGAAUUGGCUAACUCAUUGACAUCAAGUGAAACUUCAUCGCUCUGAUCCAUUAUCUGUGAUUGAACUGAUACAAUCGCUGGUGUUUAGAAACAGCACGUAUAUACUAUCACUAAGUCAUGAAAGAAACAUAUUCUUUCCAUGAGUUCACACUUAAAGCCUUCUCAAUGAAUUCAUAUUGAGGUUUACAACCUUUUUUUUAAGAUCAAGAUAUCAUAAAUGAAUUCAAAACCUCCUUUUAAGAAAGUUUCUUCUGGAACCAUUACUGAACUACAGAAAUGAUACUGUUUAUUUGAACAUCAAAGUUAAAUAAAUUAGGGCAGAGGACUUUGAAAGCAAUUAGUGUUUUCUGAUAGGACUUUCUAAGAAGCAGGAACAUAUUAGUUAGUUUAUAGAUAUAUCAUUAGGUGGGGGCUAUUAUAUAUUUUAUCUAUGUGUCUUGUGUUUAUUGGUUUGUUUAUAGAUAAUUGAUACUUAAUCUAUGUAAUAAUUCAUUUAAGUCUCCAUUCACUGUUUUUCUUUUUCCUCUUUUAAAGAAUAGCAUUUGUUCAGCUUGCUGCGAUUUUUCUGAACUUGUAAUUUGUUUAAGCCCCAGCUUGUUUUGUUCCAAGCUAUUGAAAGGAAGAUGGGAUGUAUAGUUGGUUGGCACAAGGCAUUUUAUGCCUUUUGUUUCUUCCUCGAAACUUUGCAUGAGUCUACUAAUACUACUAGAUAUUUUGACGUAGUUUGCUUUUUAUUUACAAAUUUUCACUCAACUAAUUGAGAUUUUUAUGUCAAUAAUUCAUUGUAGACUCGAACUUUUCCUCCAUAAAGUGAUUAGAAUUGACCUGACCCUACUAAAUGAAAGCAAAAGUCAUAAUUAUCUGAUCCAUUAUCUGUGAUUGAACUGAUACAAUCGCUGGUGUUUAAUAAAAGCACGUAUAUGCUAACACUAAGUCAUGAAAAAAAUAUAUUCUGAAAACAACCACAAUAAUAGUUUGCAUGAAAUCAAUCUUAAUUUGUGGUUAUUUCUAUCUGUGUUAGUUUUCAAGGGGUUUCUAGUGACGAGCUUUUUACUCAUGUUUUAUUAUGGAAUGCAAACUAGUGGUACUUGCUGUAAAAAAAAGGGUAAACUUCAAUUAUUUUCCUUGUAAUAGAUUCAUUAAUAUUCUACUUCUACUCCUACUCUAAUAGUUUUCAUAAAAUCCUGUUAAUAUUACUCUUACCUAUGAAAUAUCUAAUUCUUUUUAAUUUUGGUUUUUCAGUUUUUUAGGUUUCGGAUUUUUGUUGUAAGAUACUACGACAUGCAUAAAGACUUGAGAGGAAAUAAUAAGAGAAAAGUUAUAAAAAAACAAUAAUAUUUCUGCAUAACAAUCACGUAAUUCUUUUUCAUUAUCCUUGAUAACGUAAAAUAAACCCUCCACACUUACCUUGCUCUGUUCAAGAAAUUGUUGCGGGUGCAUAUUUUUUUG